UGAUGCUUGAGGCAGUCUCAGGAUCCUUAAGUCCAUUUCUGCUGCAUAACUGGACAGAUGGAAACCUCCCUUCUUGCCCAUUGCUGCAGAAGUCACUAUACUAAGUUUCCAAAAUAUAAUGGGAGCCUAUUCAGACAUCAAGGUCCUGGUAACUUGAAUAUGUUGGUGGUGGGAAUUCUGGACACAUCACUCAAAGAAAGUCUUUUUAUGCAUGGUUCUCCCAAGACCAAUUGUGGCUGGAAGGAUUCCCUUUUAGAUUUGGGCAUAUAAACUCCAACAGAAGCCUGCUAGCUGAUAUAAUGCUUAAACAAGAUUCCAUGAGCUACACUUUGGUCCUAUCAAGACAGGCAGGCAGCUGCAUGAGAGGUGGAAAGAGAGAAAAUGAUUGAGAUGAAAUCACCACCAACAACUAUUGCAGGCAGCAAAGCAGCAUUGGAUUCCAGCCACCAUACUUCUGCAACCAGGUGUGAAUGAGCCUGAUGGGAUGUUAUUAUGGAUCCUACACUGAAAAAGGGAGAGGGAUUAAAAUCUGUGUUCACAGGCUGAGAGCAGGUGUCUGCGAUGAGAUCCCAUGCUGUGACAUGCAUGCAGCACACUCUUACAUGAAAAGCCCUGGCUGAUGAAAUGACCACAGGAAGACAACACAGAACCCUCCUGGCAGGAUCAGAAGAAGCUUAAUUAAGCUCUGUGGUUAAUGUUAAAGUCCUUUUGUCAGAAGCAUAACAAGGAACUUCAGUCUGGCUUUCAAAAGUGCUGAACACCCAAAACUCCUACUGAGGUCUCUGUGAAUCACAGCACAGAACAAGUGACUCUUCCCUUCACUCUGCAAGUGCUACAGAUUCAUGUGCUUCUACUAAAAUCUCCACGUGCCCGGCACUACAGAAGAGGAAGUGUGGCUCUCUGAACUGAGAUUUUUGGAUGAAGCUCCAAAAAAUGCUUCUGCUUCCAGCACUCCCCACCCCAUCCCACAGGCUGUCUCCUGGCCUUAUGCUCCUGUGUAUUGAGGGAAGGCAGCUCUUCUGCCCUGCAGGUGGAGAAAUCCCUUGGCCAGGCCUUGGUGGAUCCUUCAGGCCCAGCCUCUGUCCCACGGCUGCUCCCCAGCGCAGCACUCAUUUCUGCUGCAGUAUUCUCCUGGAGAAGCUGGCAGUCCAUGGCUUUGACAGGUACAUUCUUUACUUUCUGGGCAAAAAACUGGCUGAAGGACAAGCCCAGAGCGUGGUGGUAAGUGGGGUUAAAUCUAGCUGGCAACCGGUCAUGAGUGGUGUUGUCCAGGGGUUGGUACUGGGGCCUGUCCUAUUUACUAUUUUCAUUAAUCACCUGGACAAGGGGCACCUUCAGUAAGUUUACAGAUGACAUCAAGUUGGGAGAAAGCCUUAAUCUUCCUGAGGGUAAAAAGGCCCUUCAGAGGGAUCUGGACAGGAUGGAUCACUCGGUUGAGGCCAAUGGGAUGAAGUUCAAGAAGACCAAGUGACAAGUCCUGCACUUUGGUCACAACAACCCUAGGCAGUGCUACAGGUUUCGGGCAGAGUGUCUGGAAGACUGUGGAGGAAAUGGACCUGGGGGUAUUGGUCAGCAUUUGUCUGAACAUGAGCAAGCAGUGUGCCAAGGUAGCCAAGAAGGCCACUGGCAUCCUGGCUUCUAUCAGAAAUAAUGACAUCCUGACUUGUAUCAGAAAGAUUGUUACCAGCAGGACUAGGGAUGUAGUCAUGUAUCCAGUUACACAGUGGACUAGUUGCUGUGCUGAGAAGCACUAACAGACUACUCAUGUGCAGCCUUGUCCCUUUAAACAAGCAACCAGAGCAUGUCACCUGGACUUUGACACUCAUGAUUCAAAGAAGGAUAGAGACAGCCCUAUUUGGAAUAUCUAUAGGAGUGCCUGAAGUAACCCCAAUUCCCUGCUGAAGUACCUAAGUUUUCUCCUUUAUAUCUAUGCUUUCCUGGUCUCUGCAGAGACUUCCAAGGAAAAUCCUUAAUGAGGACUUGUCCUUCUUUCUUAUGGCAUGGACCCAUGGCCAAGGAAAACUACGCCAAGAUUUCCAAGCUUGUAGACGCCACCACUGCAACAUCUGAUUGGAACAACUGCUACCAUCCGGAGCUGAGCACAUCUGAACUGGUGAACCGGCUGACUGAUCCCCACUCACGUAAGCCAGACAGCUUGCUUAUUACUAACAGCUUUAGCUGGAACGGUUACUUAAUUAAAAGUGCCUUGACCAGUCCCAUCACUGCAGGAAGCCAAGACCAAAAAGACUAAGAAAAGUCACUGUGAAUCCAAAUGAAAACCUGCCAUGACUUUUCCUUUGCUCUUCAGUUUCCGAUGCAAAUUCACUUCCUGAUGAGUCAUGAUGUGCACAGCACAUCUGUAUGAAAUAAGUUGUUUCUUCUGACCAUCCCCUGCUACAUCUCCUCCCUCACCCCUACAUCUCAUUCUUGUUUCUAGACCUUACUCACCAAAACUUUCUUAGAAAGAAAGAAGUAAACAACUUUUAAUGCCCACCAGUGCUGUUAUGACAGUAUGAACACUUGAUGUGGAUUUAACCUACAGCUUCAGCUCAGGACUGUGAGCCUGAGCUCCGACUGGUGACAUGAGCAAUCUCUCUGCCACUACAGGAAAAAAAAGAAAAAAAGUGGAGGUUAAACUUUUGAAGAGUACCAAGAAAUGUCUCAAGUUACGUCCCCAGCCUGGAAUUUUAUCCCGUGGUACAUAAAAAAGGGAUGGUUACAUGGAGAAAGCUGGGUGAGCUGACAUAAGAGGUGCUACCAGAGCUUUGUUUGUUGUGUAAAGCAUGAGGGCCUAUUUCUGGCCAAGGAAGUAAACAGAGUUUGGCUGCAAGCUUAUUCUGCUACAGUGCUAAAAUAUUUCCCUCCUGGACACUUUCGUCUCUUUAUUUUUGAUUAAGUGCUGUGCCUCUGCCACCUUGCUGCUGCCUGCUGCUCCUUUCUCCGACAGUUCUCUUUUAUUCCAGCUUCUCUUUUCACUUUUGUCUUUGCUCAUUUGUUUUUCUCUUGGACAUUCUGUACAACGUGCUGUCAUGUACCAUCAUGUUUUAUCCUCUCUCAGCUCUACGUAGACUCCAGCCAGUCCGUGUAAGCUUCCCUGGCAAUUGUCCUGGAGCAGUGUUUCCAUACUAGCACUUCCUUUGUUCUUUGUCCCUGCCCAACUAUGGGAAUUUGUUUGCAUUUGCACAAAGCAUAGACAUUCUGUUUUAAAGAUUUUAUCCCACAGCUAUGUCAAGUUCCUAACGCUGUUUGCAUCAUCUAAAAGGUUGCAUUUUUCAAAAACAAAAUAAGAGCCUGCUAGCUGCUUACACUGAGUGAUAAAACAGCAAGUACAAGAACUCUAAAAAAAAAAAAUAAUAUAUGUGGGUUUGUUCAUGACCCUGACGAGACAUUCGUCUAUGUCGUAAUCAAAGAAUGGCCUGGGUUGGAAGGAACCUCAAAGAUCAUCUAGUAAUCCUUGUCUUCAGUCUACCACUGAUCUAAGCAUGAAAAAAUUGGCAGAUUUGUGUUAUCUAACAGCACCCUUUUCAGAGACAGAUAUAAGGAAGCACAUAGUAUUGGGGCAGCAUACUGUAUAGCAGGAGAAAAUUGACACUCUCAUGUGGGAUUCUGCCAUGGUAAUCUAGCUUAACACAGGCAAUACUGUAGCUUCUCCCAGUUGGUUCACACUUUCAACCUUUCUGAAUUUACUCAGGUGGAGAAAUUCUAAUGCUCAUGCAAAAAUCCUACUCAUUGCAAAGAAAGGUUUACUCAUUGUCUAGGGCAGGGCUGAACAUCAAGAUGCCUAUGGACACUCUGCCAAGGCUCUGCUUCUUAUGUCACCUCAGAUUCAUUAGUUCAUCCAAGGCUCAGAGGAAGCAUCUAAUUCACUUUUUGUGAUAUCGUAUUGCCCACACCCAAACUCUGACUCUUGGCUGUGUUUUUUCUCAUAAAGCAGCAGCCAGCACCUUCCCCUGCAGCCUCCAACAUCUCUAUUAGACAGGCUAUUCUGCAGACCAUACCACAGAUAUAGAUAUCCAUCCUGUGCAGUGGAUAACUCUGCUUUAGAGGGCACACCAGCUGCAGUUUCUACUGCCACACCUUACUUCCUUUUGUUCAUAACUUUACCAAAAUUUAACUGUUUGGACUUAAUUGUUGAACAGAAGGUUUUUCUUUUCCUCUCACCAUCCAAACCUAAGCAUAUGGGAAAAUUUCAACUACAAUAUUUCGCUAUUUCUAGAAAUUGAGACCAGAAUCAAGGAAAAUUAUUUGUUUAGGAAAAAGAAAGACAUCCUAGAACCUGCAUUAAGGUUCUUUAACAUUCUGCUACCUGGAACUAGACAUCUGCUUUCAGAAUGCUACUGUGUGGCUUGUUUGUCAUUUUUUUGUGGACAUUUUCCCAUAUGUGACAAAUUACAUACUUUUAAAAUAAAAAUCUCUGUGUGUUUGUUCAUGUCUGGAGAAGAUUUGUUGAAGUUGAGGAACUGAAGUAUCUGAGGAGUCCAAUUUUCAGACCCUUCCAGUGAGGACACUUCAUCUUCUUAUGCUUGAGGACCAAAUUAUAUGAUCUUGCUAUCAAGUGACUUGACAUGUUUUAGCCAGCAGUACAACACAGUCCUUCCUUGCUGAAGUAUUACUGUCAAUGGAACAUAAUGCCAGGAAAUUCUCUCUUUUAAUUCCCAGUUCUCCAUCUGCUCAUGCCCAGAAGAAAGAGCGAAUGGGAUGAGUUAGAAUUUUAAAUAAAAUAAUUCAAAUGAAAGCAAUAUUUGCUCACAUAAGCAUCAAGUACUGUGAUUUUCUAAUGCUGGUGGUGAUGGGAAAAGUUGUCAAGAAAGUUGUCUUUAAGCUUCCUUCCAACCUAAACCAUUCUAGGGUUCUGUGAGAUGUGGCCCAUUUGUUCUCUGCACUCCUGACUGAAUAUCUAAUAAUAAAAAUUAAUGUGAAUCCUCUGUGCUUCUGAAGAGCAAACUAUCACUAAAAGCAAUGUGCCAAAUACUCUUCUUCCAUGCGGCUCCACUGAUGGGCCAGGGAUGCAAAGACAGGGUUUGACAGUAAGAGAUUGCCACAAUGUGUGUGGGAUCCAGAGCAUUAAAAGGCAAGGUUACGAUUUCUCAACAUGAAAAGUCUGAAGGAGGAUUCCUGUUCAGAGUGAUUUCAUCUUAGAUGGGAAACAAAUGGAAGAGAAGACUGUGCACAUCUCUGUAAAGCGCUGUAGCAGUUUGGCAUGAUAGAGUGGCAUCUGGGGACUUGGAGAUAUACUCUUUGGAAAUGUAAAGGUAUAGACAAAAUGAAGUCAUAUUAGGCACAGAACCAUCUAUCUCUCAGCAGCGGAGCUGUCUCUCCCUAAUGUAUGUCACAUCUACUCAAAAGUGGGAGAAAACACUCUUCAGAUUCCCUAGUAUUUAUGGAACACACUGAAAUAAAUUGUACCUCAGAACACCAGACUUGCCCCAUAAAAUAAGGAGUGACACUGAUAUAAAGCUGAUUUUCUUGACUGCCGUUCUCAGCAUUCUGGAGAGCCUGAUCCCCAGUAAGGCAAUUUGGCAGAUAGCUAGCUGCUGUAAUGGGGGCAAAGACAUGCAUUUGUUGGAAGGAGAGGCAAAAAGGAAAUGUUAUAGCUUUACCCUCUAAAAUCCAACCCUGUACUUUAAGAACAAAGAUACUUUAAUCACCUUGGCAGCCAGUAUAGCCAGUUCUGAUAUAGGAAAGGUCAAAGAUAUCAUCCUUCUAUUAUCUAGAUUCUAAUUAGGUUGUGAGUAAAUAGGGAACACUGAAGUUGUUUACACAGUGAUUGUCAUGUGCCCUACUGACUUGAAAACACCGAAGACUCCAGCAGCUUUCAAAGCUGCCCAUUGCACAUGUACAUGGUUCUACAAAGUGCAGAAGAGGAGGCUCAGGGGAGAACUCAUCUCACUAAAACUACCUGAAAGGAGGUUGUAGUGAAGUGGACACUGGGCUCUUUUCCCAAGUAACUAAUGAUAGGACAAGAGGUAAUGGCCUCAAGUUGUGCCAGGGUGGUUCAGGUUGGAUGUUUGGAAAGAUUUCUUCUCAGAAGCAUGGUGAGAUAUUGGAACAGACUUCCCAGGGAGGUGGUAGAGUCACCAUCCCGGGAGGUUUUCAAGAAAAGGGUAGAUGUCACACUGAGUGACGUGAUCUAGAAGGGUCACAGGCAUGGGCUGAUGGUUGUACUAGAUGACCUUAGUGAUCUUUCCAACCUUAAUGGUUCUAUGACUCUAUGAAAUGUGGUGAAUUUGAUCUUAGCCUGAAAGAUUUUUUUUAAGGACAUGCACGCUCAUUCCAAAAAAAAAAAAAAGAGAACUGUAGAUCUCCAAAGAAUAACUGAGAAGUCAGUAUAGUUCCCCAGAGUGCUAAGACCUACCUAUCUGCUCUCCACGCAAACUUCAUACAGACCAUGGUGUCUUAGUUUAGCUGAAGAUUAUCUGAGCAAUAAAAUGGCAUAAGGGAUGAAUUCAUCCAGUUUUUGGAAAAAGUUCUGCUCAUUUCCAUGAAAAGCCCUGCAGUGGUUGAGCUCCUUUUGACUUACGAUGAGAGAUGAUUUUGACCUGCUCUCUAUCAUCUGUUAGGCUGCAGCUGUGCCCUCUAGCACUGUAUAUGUAUUCCAAGCUCAUCUAGAUGUGGAAACAAAAGCACAAAUGAGAUGACAAUCUUCCAUUCUUUCUGUGUGCUGCCAAUACCUGUUUGUCCCUAUAAUGACAUUAAUCAUCUUUUAUUUAUAGUGGAAUAUUGGAAGCUUCAAUUUUUCCCUUUUGAUUUAUUUGUAGGACAACAGGUGCACAACUUAAGCAGGUGUAUGGAUGUGCACAUAUGCUGUGAGUUUGCCAAUAGCCAAAAUACAUCUUUAGUAAAUGAUUACUUGUACCAAAGCUGCCAUUAUUUUUGUUUCAUGCCUAAACUUAAUUCCACAACUGUUAGCUGCUACAGUCUAUUAUGUGCUUUGUGUUGCAACUGCAGUAAUGCAACUCAGAUAUGCAAAACCUCUCACCCUUCAAAACCCUUUGCAAACAAGAUGUCCCUAAACCAUACACUGCUCCCAGUUUCUGAUACUUGGAAAAGGUACCGAAAAUGUAUCAACAGUUUCCAUUGGCAACUGCUGCAGAAUAGCAUGAUACCGGUCCAACAGCUGACACAAAAUGCCUUUCCAUAUGUAAAGCUGUGCCUUAAACACACAAGGGACACUAAGAAUAAACGUAUUUUCUAUUUCUUUUGUCUAACAGCAAAUGGGUUGUGAAGAAGUGCUGGAUGCCUUAAAAAAUGCAGUUAUAAUUUUGGAUCCAAGCUGUGAGAACACUCAUUGGAGACAACUGUUCUCUCAUGGGCUAGCCUUGAAUAAACAAUCACAGCUCUGUGUGAUAUUACUUCUUAACCAGAUUCUAGCAUUGAGCUGUUGCCUUGCCAUGGUUACUUGCCUUUUAAACCAAUGUUUCUUUUCCUUCCUUUUUGCCAAGAUUCUUGCUUGCUUGGCAGUGGCUCGUUCUCCUUUGAACUUUUGCCCUAUUUUAAUCUCCACCAAAUUUUUAGUCUAAAAGAACCUUUUCAACGAUAUCUUUUGUUGUCCUGAAUUUCUUUUCUCGCUGUGAGAACUUACUUGGGGACAUGGCUUACGGGAAAGUGCCCAAGUGACUGUCUUCUCCUGAGUAUCCAGCAGCUGGCAUGCAUCCGUGAGGAGAUUAUGAAACAAAGCCACGACAGCACAAGACAGUGGCCACUCCUGAAAUAAGAUUAAAUAGUAAAGAAGGACACACGUACACACACAUGCAAACUACCAGGUCAUUCACUGGGAGAUUUACUUGUGCUUGUUAGCUCCUGAGCUUGCCUCAGCUGAAUUCAUCUGAGGAUAACACCAUUAAAACCCAUGUCAGAGCAUCACUCUGCCACACAGGGGUCCAGAGCAGAAUCCCUCACUUGUGCUGUGCCCCGGGAGCUGGCAUAGCACCGCAUCCCAUGGAUCAUGUGGGAGUCCUGGAAAAAGGAAGCAUGUCUCUGGCUGCCUCGGGGUAACUCUCCAGGCAACCUGGAAGAAUCAAACUCACAGCUUCUGUGAAGAAGUUAAAAUUCAUCUUAUACCAGGCAAACACAUCACCCUGACAUAUUUUGACUUUUUUUUUUUUUUUUUAACAUGUUUUGUCCUAUUUGGAGAUUCAGGGGGAGAAAUGCAUGCUCUCUCCAAAAUAUUUUUUAGUCACUAAUAUUGUUCCCACUUCUAAAAAGAAAAAGAAGCGAACACAAUUCAGUUUCAGAUUCAUCAAAAGACAUCACUGUGUGAUUUUCUAAAGUAAAGGCAAGUACAUGUGUACAGUAUUCCUGUGCAUAACAUACAUGUGUGUACAUAUAGGUGUACAAAAACAGUGACAGUAUUUCAUACGCAUAUUUAUUACUGGGAAAACCGAUUUUCUUACCAGAAGCAUAACUGCCAAAUUUCUGGCAUUAGUGAAAGCCCAGCUAUUACUAUUUAGAAAUCUCUGUCUCAGGCUGAAUCAUUUUUUGGCUGAGUUUUUAAUGUAAAGUAAAACCUAGCACAAGCCUCAAGGACAACAGACCCCUGUGGUGUGCUGUAUGUAAAAUGAACCACAUUAAUGUCAUUCUGGUAUGUGCAUCAUAUAUUCUCAUAGAGAAACCAGGGCCAAUAGUUUAGUCAUAUUUAUUCACAGACUAAUAGGAAUCUGUGUUAAUUGACUAAGAUAUGCCUGAGAGCAUCUUUUCACCAUCUGAAUAGUUGGGCUGAAUGUAGGAAGACCAGCAAGAUACCUAUUUCCUUUAAAACAUAACCUUACCAACAUUUUAUGUUAGAAGAUUUUAAACUAAAUCAAACAAUUCAAAGUCUAUCCUUGCUCACUCUUAUUUAUUAACUUUUAGAGAGCAAUUUUCUUCACAGUAGCAAAAUCAAUACUCUGAGAUAAAACUUCUAACAAGAGUUUCCUUUCUCAUAAAAUUUUAUUGGCAAUUUAAUUCUUCAUCUGUAUUGAAAUGGUAAAAUGUAAAGAGCAAUGUUCUUUUUUGCUAGUAAAACAUCCUUAUUUACUUUGGAACACAUGCAGAAGGCACAUUUUCAGCUGAGUUCAAUCAUUUUCUGUUUCCUUGAUAUCUUCAUAUGCAGACAAUCCUGACUGACAGAAAAAUCACUAGCUAAUUGACUACAGCAUGCUUUAUAUGCAAGCUUUAUAUGCAAGUAUUGGUAGCAACCUACUCUUUAGACUCCCUGUGGGCUGGAGGUGGGCAACCUGCGGCAGAAGUGCCCAGCCAUGUGCUGCUUUGCUCUUCACAGAAACAAGAUGUUACCUUGGAGUAAUUUGCCCCUUAGCACCCAAUAUGCAAACUUCCAAUUGACUCCAGCUGGAUUUCUGCACCUUGCUGUAGUUCACGUACAGCAGCAAAUCCUUGUACUACCUUGGGCAUGGAAAAGAGGUAAACAGGCACACCAUGCCUCUCAGUCCAGGAUGGGAACAUAAGUAUUUAAGAGACAGACACGCAUCCUUUCCCAUGAGAAAGGAGGAGACAGAGAAGGAAGGCUACUCCACACCGUGCACAGGGUGUGUCCACACAGUGGUAAUGUGUUGCCAUUCUCAGCUUUUCCAUCCAGCAUUUUCAAAAUUAGACUGGUAGUAAGUAAGGCUUGAGGGGCCGGCUGAGCUCAGCUUUUGGGAAGGAGGCUCCACUGCGUACAAUGCUGACUUGAGUCCCAGUGUCACUUUCCCACACGGAGUAGCCCCUUGAUCUGUGAGUAGUGCCUAUGACUUCUGCCGGGACCACUCGCAAGGACAAUGCGGCUCAGCAGGCUCUUUGUAAAUGUGUGGCCGCAAUACAUUCAUCAGCAACAAUGACUCCUGUAAUCAUUUACAAUGCCUUUGGGCCUCUGUGUGUAAAAAAAGCAUCGCUACGCCAAACCAAUGGGAGAAAAGCUUGUGUGGUGGUGGCUUUAAAAUCGGAAUUGUGAAGCGUUAUUUGUAUCGAGAGACGAAAUAGCAAGAAGUGGAAAGGGUGAGAAAACAUGAAAAGAAAUGCGCUUAGGGAAACAGAAGCUGGAAGUAAUCAAUAAAUCAUAGAAGAAAGUAAAGAGAAAGAACCUUUAAAGUGCCCAAGCUUAAAUGUCAAGAGUAUUAGAACAAAAGAGCUCAAAGCAGAAGAUUGUGUGACAGAGGAAUAUGCUGAAACUCUGUCAGAAAGCAGGCUCACUCCUGAGCGUGGAAAACAGUACAGACAAUGAAGGGCAGCAGAGAAGAACAGAAUAAGAAAUGAGGACACCGUGUACGUUCCUCUUCCUUAAAUAGCUUGAACACACAGGAUUGGUAUUAUUGUUAUUAGAAGACUCUGAGGAGUAAAACUGGAAGAACACCAUCACAGUUGUUGAAAAGAUCAGCUUUAAGCUAUGUAAUAUGCUAAGAAUGUGCUAUCAUAUAUGCAUGAAGGUAUGCCAUCAAUAUUGCAGAGUAAAAAGAUCUUGCUUACAUUGUCCUCCGCCAAAAAGAAACAGAGCCAACCAAGGCAGAGCUGUUGUUACAUUUAUCCCUAGACAAAUUCCUACAGUUACAUUUUUUUUUUUCCUAAUGACACUCUUUCAGUGAUGCACUUAAUCACACAUAGCUCUAGGCACAAGUGCUUGUCCCACUGAAAUCCACGUAUAUAAACAUACACUUAAAGUUAAGCUGGUACUCAAAAUGUUUUGCUGAGCUGAAGCCCGUGUGCUGAUGGAUUGCCUAGUUAGCCAUAAACUGCAUGGUUACAUCUGUUUUUGACUUCUGGCUCAGAAACAGAUACCUGCUCUGUUUGAAUCAAAUUUAUCAUGGCCGCUACUCAUAUAAAAAUGCUUUUGGCACCACACAUGUCUGUGUUGUGAAACCAAAAUUUUAUGUUAAAAAUGGAUUUGUGGUCAACUGAGCAAAGGCGGCUUACAUUCUCCUCGGCAGAAACCUGUACGGGAAGAAAUUAAACGUGCCUUGAUGUACCUUGAAAAAGAGAAUUUGAGAAGCUCUCACAAAGGCUGCUGGAAAACAUCUGUCACAGCAAAAGGCAGACAAACCCCGGGCACUAUGCGUUGGGUGAUGGACUUUGCCAAGCAUGACAGGCAUGAGGGCUGCUGCAGCUAUUGAGACACACUGGCAGGCAGUAGACCUGAGCCGCAGCUCUUUCUUAAGAGCCCUGGUGGCACUGCCCACUGCACAGGUCUCAUUUCUGGGUCAAGUCUGAACAGAUAAUCUUUGCAGUUUGCUUGAGGUCAUGAUACGACUGUCGUAAAAACCAUUAUAAAGGCAUGCCCCUGGGGUAUUUGUUCUUGUGGGAAUAAAGCACUUAAAAUCCACACGGACCACUCAGUCAGUGGCAGGAAAGAGAACACAUACUGAAUUGUUUGUAAAAUAUUAUUAGCUUGAAUCAGGUGGUGAUAGCAAUAUGGAAACACAGCAGCUCAGUCCACUCUGAAGUCAUUAUUAACAUUAUCCUGCUAUUUGAGUAUGUACACACAAAUGACAGUACCGAUAUGCCAUUCCAGAGUAACAUCAGCAGGUAAAUUGACUGUUAAUGCUUGUGUUAAUGUUACUGAGCAUGUCCACAAUAACAAAGACAUUUCCAAAAACCUGAGUGAACUGAUGACAGGAGAGUGAUGAAUCAUGCAAAAAAAAAAUAUUACCACAAGUGCUCAUUUGACAGCAAAGAAUUUUGUGGUACCGCUCUGUGAGACAUUUAAAAUUUCAGUCAUAAUUUUAGGAGAUCUCUCUCAUUCAAAUUGUCAAAGCCUAGCAAGCUUGUUAACAACAUCAAGGGGUGACUGGUUCUUCAUCUUCUUGCUCUUGUUCUACUGAAUGAUCGAGGAACAAACUAAAACUGACAGCUAUUGCAAGGAUAACAAGAAUUAGGAGAUACAAAAUAUGUUUCUACCCCUCCUUGUCAAAUUCAGCCUAAGGUAGUUGAUAUUCAGUUCCGGAAAAUGUUGCAAAACUAAAAGGAGCUGUAGCUUAGAUCCUGGAUGUUCUGUCCCCGCCAAGCAGGGCCACUGGAGUGGCAUGAAGCAGGACAGCUAAUGGAACUGGGGUCCAUCAGCUCCCUUCUUUCAGGUUGCUAAUUCUACCAUAUACAAACGAGCUAGGAAUCCACUGAAAGAAUUAACAUGAAAGUUCUAAAGUCUCCCCAUGAUUUUCACAGUAUCUUGACAAAUUUGAUUGUAGGAACAGCAAAGCAAGUCCUUAAGCUAUGGUCUUUUUAUUAAAUAUUUGAUCUCCAUUAAAACAUCAAGACUUCUUGGUGGUGUUAGCUUUCAUUGUGAGUGAAUGCUUUCAAUCCAUGUCUUAGUUACCCUGGAUUCUUAGUUGAGAAAAUAAUAAAUAAAUAAAUAGAUGUUGAUGUACAUGAAGUACUGUGCUUAUUCACUGCAUACCAAUGUUCGAGAGUGUAAUGACAGGACAAGGAGCAGUGACUUUGAACUGACAGUGACUAGAUUUGGAUUAGGUAUUAGAAAAAACUUCUUUACUCAGAUAAUGGUGAGACAAUGGCAGAGGCUGCCCAGAGAAGCUGUGGAUGCUCCAUCCCUGAUGGUGCUCAAGAGCACAUUGGUUGGGGCCCUGGGCAACCUGACCUAGUGUGCGGUGUUCCUGCCAUGGUAGGGGGAUUGAAACUGGAUGAUCUUUAUGCUCCUUUCCAACUAAAACCAUUCUGUGAUUCUAUGAAAGCCAAUUUUGAUGAGAUUCACUUGAAACCUCACUCUAAAAAUAUUAUAUAAGUAGGUAGCCACUAAGAAUGACUAAGGUUUAGAAGAUAAGAUUAACGUUAUAAGAAAUCAGGCAAAUUACAUGCAGACAUGAUCCAACCACAGGAUAUGGGAUGCAUUGGUUGGGAGAACCCCACUUAGUUUGCUCAAGGAUAUUUUUUUUAUCAGGAAGCUAAAUAUAAUAUAGAGGGUGUGGCCUCAAGUUUAGCCAAGGGAGAUUCAGGUUGGACAAUAGGAAAAACUUCUUCAAAAGAGUGGUCAGGCAGUGGAAAGGGCUGCCCAGGGAGGUGGUGGAGUCACUGUCACUGGAGGUGUUCAGUACAUGUCUAGAUGUUGUACUGAGGGACAUGGUUUAGUGGGAAAUAUUGAGAGUAGGUGGACAGUAGGACUGGAAAAUCCUGGAGGUCUUUUCCAACCUUAGUGAUACAAUGAUUCUGUGAUUAUAUAAAUUAUUUCAUAGGUGUUAUUCAGCUCUCUCCAAUCAAGUCAGCAAGAUUUUAACUGAAGUUGUCUCAUGCUUGGCCAACCUGUUAGAUUGCAGUGAUGAGUUGACAGGCUUGGUGUAUGAGGAGAGUACAGUGGAUGUGAUUUAUCUCAGCUUUGGCAAGACUUUCACCACAUUCUCCCAUAUUGUCACCUACAUAACACUCCAGAAAUUAAUGAGUUGCAGACUAAAUGAAUGGACAGUGAGAUGGACUGUAAACUGUCUGAAUUGCUGGGCUUAACAGGCUGUGAUCAUGAAGUCCAGCUGGAGGCCAGUCAUAGCUAUGUACCUCAGGGGAAGAUACUGGGGCCAGUAGAUUUUAACACCUUCAUUAAUGACCUGGGCAACUCAACAGAGUGAAUCCUCUGCAAAUUUGCAGAUACAAUAAAACUGAGAAAAGAGUUUGCUAGACUAGAUGCUUGUGCAUCCAUUCAAAAGGACCUUGACACACUGAAGAACUAGGCUAACAGGAAACUCAUGAAGUUAAAUAAAGGGAAAUGCCAUGUCCUCCUCAUGAGGAGGAACAACCUCUUGCACCAGGAAAGGUUGAGGCCAGCUGGUUGGAAAGCAAUGCUGUAGAAAAUGCUGUGAUAUUCCUGGAGAGCAGCAAGUUAACCAUGGGCCAGCAAUGUACCCUUGAAGUACAUUGGGCUGCACUAUGCUGAGCAUUACCUGCAGGUCAUAUAAGGUGAUCUUUUCUCUCUGUUCAAACAAACCUGGAGCACUGAGUCCAGCCAUGGUCUUCCCAGUACAAGAGACCUGGGUAUACUGCAGCAGGUCCAGUGAAGGUCCAGAGGGAUGACUAAGGGCUUGCAGUACCUAAGGUACAAGGAGAGUCUGAGAGAGCUUGGACAGUUCAAUCUGGAGAAGAAAAAGCUCUGGAGAAUCUUAUCAGUGUGCAUAAACACCUGAUGGGGGACGAUAUGGAAGCUGGAGCCAGUCUCUUCCCAGAGGCACACACUGAAAAGACAAAACACAAUAGGAACAAAUUGAAAAUAUAUUUUUCCUGCAGGGGUUGUUGAAUAUUGGAACAAGUUGCCCAGAAAGGGUGUGGAGUCUUCAUCCUUGCAGAUCUUCAAAACCCAAAUAUUUUUUCAAUUUUUUUUCUGUAGGGCAUCUGCCUGCUCUUUCUGAAUUGCAAAAGAGUAAUUUCCUACUCUUCACUAUAUUGUUAAUACAGGCAGAGGCUCUUCAUAAAUGUAGUGUCAGCCCACAGAUCAAAUGUAUAUCUCACCUGCUACUUCCCCUACAAUUUUGGGUCUUGGGACAAUGCGUAGGCUGCACCGUUAGUGCCUCAGCUCAGACCUACAUGUUCUCCUGAACCAGUCCCUUUCCCCAACUGCCCCAGUGGGAUCACAGUUGUCUAUAACCAAAACAUUGCUGCAACUGUAAAAUUUGCCUGAAAGUUCAUUUCAAUCUGCUGCUUAUAGUAAACAGGUGGGUUAUGGCUUUGUCCUUCAUGUUCAGCCUCAUGUCAGUUCCAAAAAUCUUGCUCAACUGCUGUUCAGAGAUCUCAGCUGGAGUUGAGAACAAAAAUCUCACUGAACUUCAUCAAGUAUUUGGAGUAAAACUGACACAUGACUGGGGAUAGAAGGAAGGCACAGCCAGCAGGGGAGAGAGGAGUGCUUGUGAAAGACUUCAAAAUGGAGAGAAUUCAUUCUUGUUGAUGAGAAGGCCUUGAGGAACUCAACCUACAAAUCAUUACAUUGUUGCAAGACUAAGAGAGAAAUCAUUCAUUACUAAAAAAGCCUCAUAGUGCCAUUCAAGCACGUUGAGAGCUUUUCUGAGAAUGUACCUUCCGCAGAGCAAUGGAGCCAGAGUGUGAAAUGACCAAAGUGAUUGACAGAAGCUAAUAGCAGUAGUCCAGAGCUCAGAGAGAUUUGAAGACAUUCUCCAUAGUGCUGUGGUCUUACAAGUCAAACACAAACUGUGGACACAGUAGUCACAUGUGCUUCAGAAGCUCCUGUGUUCAGUGGAAAGGAGCCUCCUCAAGAACGUACAACGGUCUGAGCACCGCCCUGCAGCAGCCCCCGAACCAGCAAGAUGGGCUUCUUGCAAAAGGAGGCGGCACCGCUGGAUCAAGACUGCUGAGGAUGCAGAAUUGUAGUCCCUGGAGAAAGGAACGGCUGUCUUCCACCCAUAUAACUCAAAAAGUGGAAACUUCUCAGUUGUUUUGAAUGCUUUCCUUUCCAACUGCUCAUCACAUCGGCUUAAGAUCACGUAAUUCAAAAACUGCAGAUCAUUUCCAGUGCUCGAACUUCCACGCACAAUUUUAAUGCGCAGCCUGGUAAAAUCAAGCAUGAGCAGGAAGCAAAUCACAGAAGAAACAUUUUCAUGCCUUAAAAUUACACUGGGAAGAGGGGAAAAAACAAACUUAAAACAUGCAAACAGCAAACUUGUCCAUUCACCGCAGCUGUGUUCCAGCCAGUAGUUCCCACAGCUUCAAGACCAAUAUAUUAAGCUGACAGAGAAAAUGGCUGCCGUCUUCUGAGGCCAAGUUACAGCCAUCCUUGUGGUUUGAAAGUCUGAAGUGCAGUGCUCAGAUAAAGCAGGCAACUCUACUCCAGCCUGGUAGAGACAUUAAAACACACGAGAACUUCAGUAGGUGAGCUCCUCACUUUCUCUCCUUUUUUGUUAUAUUUUUCCUCUGGUGGGUUGAGUUAUCCAGUUGGAGCUCCCAGAAUAGAUGAAAUCCAGGCAGAAGAGCAUACCCAGUUCUAUCAGUCACCUGCUGUGAGUCUCCAUCAGUGAAGCUUUGCCUUUGGACUGAGAUGUAAAAUUUAUUGGGGUUUUGCACUUCUUCCCCCCACUCUUGGCCUUGUUUGUACUUUUGGAAUAAAUAUGGAAUAUAGUCUGUCCCUUUAAUGCAAGAGACAAUGAGAAGGGCAAAACUGUUCCCAAGAAGUCAGUAAAAGUGGUAAUACCUAUUAAUGAUUGCAGCAGAGUGCUUUUCAGUUGCCCUAUUAAAGGAGCUCUUUGUCCUAAUAAAUACCAAUGAAAAAGCUUGCUCUCAGAGCACCUACCCUGUACUUUAUUUAUAAUGAGUCUUCUAAUGAGUACAUAGUGUUUAUGCCUCCUUGAGAGACUCAUCACUCCCUCUCUCAGUCUGUUAUUUAACAUACAGUACUCCAUGAAGGUGUCCCAUUUCAUCCCCCAUGCCUCCCUACCUCCUCCCUCACACAGACUUCCCCAUACUGCUUUUGUUCAAGGGCGUAGGCAACUCUGAAGGAACAGUGAGCACUGGAACUGAAGCAGAUUUCCCAAAUGUUAGGCACGGUGUGGAAGGAAGGGGAGCAGGCACCCCAGAUUUUCAAUGUGGCAGUGCAGGUCCGCCUAGUACACGCUCAGCAUUAAGUCAGUCCCAAUGUGUACUUCUUUAAUCAGCAGCAAGCUGUUACUGGUGUUUAAACAGGUGUACAGUCACACAUCUGUCCGUUAUACCUGGUAAAAUACCUGGUAAGUCACAGUCCAUUUGCCUGUGUCAUACGGAUGUCCUAGCUAAUAUUAGCCACCACUGACAAGCAAGACCUGAAGGCAGUCACCUCUAAGAGACUGAGAAAUCCUGCUGGUUGCAAUGAAAAGGCCUACCUGUUCCUCUUUGAUGGGUAGUUUGGGGGGGGAUUGUCAAGACAAAGAGCUCACUUGUCAAGUAGCGUUUUUGUCAAAGCUCCUUGUGACUGUAAUUUAGCAUGGUACAUUCUGUAUGUGGCUGUUAGGUUGUGACACAAGUUAAAUUAAUAACUUUGUGACACUUCACAUGAUAUUCUGCUGCCGUUCAGAGUCAUGCCUUGAGAUCAUGGGAUCCUACAUGACACAUCCCUAAUGUGAUCUUGUGACAGAACAGAAGUAAUUUAUGUUAGCAGAGUAUCUGAGGAUUAAAAAAAAAAAAAGAAUCCUAUUAUAGGGUUGCUCAUCGCCUUAGGCCAGAAGAUAGGAUCUGAAGACUCUCUUUUAUUCUCUGUGUUUUUCUUUUAGGCUUUGAAGCUGUGAGUAAAAGGGUUUCCCUUCCUUAAGCAAAUCAAUUCCCUGUCCUCUUUCUGAGUCUCUGCAAUGUGUGUUUCCACAAGAGACGAAAAGUGCGCAGAAGACUGUAUAAGAUAACUCAGUAUCAAUGUUAAAAUGAGCCCUAUAUUUGCUACCCAUUACCAGCAGAGCCACAUCAGCAUAAAAUCACAAUAGCAGCAGUCUUUGUGGUAUCUUUGUGGUAUCUAGCACUUUGGCGUGUAUAAAAUCAAGACUGUGUUUGGAAUUGAGGAGGUCCUGAAAACAAAAGGGCUCUUUCAUCUGGAAGAAUAAAAGAAAGCUGCUCCUUAAAGAAGAAUGUGUUUCAGGGCUUCAGACAGACUCAUAAUUCACUUAAACCUCUUUGGAGAGUGCUCCCCUCCAUAGCUGGGCUCCAGUGGCAAGGAACGUGGGACUCCUUGUCCAUUGGGUUGAACCCAGUGCUCUAUGAAAUAAUGGCUCCAGGGAAGCACUCAAGGUGCCUCAGUGUCCAUCCCUCAGGGAAUUCAGUGUGCUGAAUAAGGUCCUGUGUGCUUUGAGAUAUGCCAAACUACUGUUUUACUUGAUGAAAUCACAGAGAGAGUGAGUUUCAGUAAGUGAGUACACUUGAAGAAAAGUGUCUUUCCUAUUCACCUCCCAGUGAGGCAUAUCAGAGGGUCUAAACCUUGACAUUGUUUAGACACUGACUAGCUUUCAGUACACAUUACACAAUGAGUUGUGUGCUACCUUCAGAGCCC
ensembl:lncRNA